CCUACGGGUGGCAGCAGUGAGGAAUAUUGGUCAAUGGACGAGAGUCUGAACCGGCCAAGUAGCGUGAAGGAUGACUGCCCUAUGGGUUGUAAACUUCUUUUAUAUGGGAAUAACAUGUUCCACGUGUGGGAUUUUGUAUGUACCAUAUGAAUAAGGAUCGGCUAACUCCGUGCCAGCAGCCGCGGUAAUACGGAGGAUCCGAGCGUUAUCCGGAUUUAUUGGGUUUAAAGGGAGCGUAGGUGGAUUGUUAAGUCAGUUGUGAAAGUUUGCGGCUCAACCGUAAAAUUGCAGUUGAAACUGGCAGUCUUGAGUACAGUAGAGGUGGGCGGAAUUAGUGGUGUAGCGGUGAAAUGCUUAGAUAUCACGAAGAACUCCGAUUGCGAAGGCAGUUCACUGGACUGCAACUGACACUGAGGCUCGAAAGUGUGGGUAUCAAACAGGAUUAGAUACCCGGGUAGUC
rnacentral:rRNA from 1 species